AGCGAACGCUGGCGGCAGGCCUAACACAUGCAAGUCGAACGAAGUCUUCGGACUUAGUGGCGGACGGGUGAGUAACACGUGGGAACGUACCUUUUGGUUCGGAACAACUCAGGGAAACUUGAGCUAAUACCGGAUGAGCCCUUAGGGGGAAAGAUAUAUCGCCGAAAGAGCGGCCCGCGUUAGAUUAGCUAGUUGGUGAGGUAAAGGCUCACCAAGGCUACGAUCUAUAGCUGGUCUGAGAGGAUGAUCAGCCACACUGGGACCGAGACACGGCCCAGACUACUACGGGAGGCAGCAGUGGGGAAUCUUGCGCAAUGGGAGAAAGCCUGACGCAGCCAUGCCGCGUGAAUGAUGAAGGUCUUAGGAUUGUAAAAUUCUUUUACCAGGGACGAUAAUGACGGUACCUGGAGAAAAAGCCCCGGCUAACUUCGUGCCAGCCGCCGCCGUAAAAC
rnacentral:rRNA from 1 species